GGAGAAUGUAUGUAAAAUAGAGGCGCAGAAGAGCUGAAUACAUCAUUGUCCAUGUUUUAUGCAUUACCGAAAGUCUCUAAAUGCAUGGUUAAACAUGCAUUGAUAUCAAGGAAAUAUCUCGAAAAAUACCUUUGCUAGUCACAGCAUGCUGAGCGAUGUGACCUUUGGUCAGAUAUUCUACAUUUCCUCUAAAUGCAUGCUUCAUUCAACUCCAUAGGAAUAGUAUUUUAUGAAAAGGCCAAUGUGUGUUCAUUUUUAUAUACUAUAUGAUUUGACUCCAGCGUCAAAAUGAACUAGAACCUUCUGUAACGACACACAAUUUGGCCAAUUAUUUCUAGUCCCCAUUCAAAUUCAACCAAUCACUGAGUGUAAACAACAAAACAUACCACGCCCCCAGGGAAAGUAUAUAUUUCAACUUCCUAAACUUUCCCUGUAUGCUGGAGGUAAUUUCCCCUUGUCAUGAGUUAAAUGACCACCGCCUUUUUAUUUGCUGGAUAUUUAGCUUUCGGCCAAUCACAUAACAAGCUAUAUUUAAUCACAAAUAAAAGAGCUUUAUCACGAAAGCAGCUCUGACUGAGGCAAAGGAGGAUAGCCGUGUAUUUGCCUGUAACUUCAGUAUGGUGGUAUUUAAAUCCUGUUUACCCCAAUACCCUGGUUAUUACCACAAUUUCAGACAUAACAUGCAAAUAGCAUAACCUCAACCCAGUUAAAUGAAGUGAUAAUGUUUCCAUUCGUUUCUAACAGUGGAUAUAAGCUUAUAAAGCAAUAACAACAAUAAUGCAUUACAAAACUGCACAAUGUUUCAAUAUACUUUGUUUGCGGCUAUAUAAUUAUCUGUAUGACAGAGCAUUCCUUUUUACGUCUAUGGUAUAAACUGGAUCAUUGCCUGUUGCACGGGGAUAAAGGAGUUACUAUGACGGAUAAACUGGGUUUAAGGUUCAUGGAAGGUUGAGGGAUUUGUGAAUUGAACACAACAAUGAAUUUGAACAGGCGAACAGAACAGUCGUCUGUUUCCUGCUGUAGCUGGGUCCUGUAUGGAAGCCCGUGCGAGGCUGUCCUGGAGACCCCGCGCUGCCUGCACCUCUCGUCUUGGUUGACAUGGACGAUGAAGAUGGCAGGUGCCUGCUAGAUGUCAUUUGUGACCCAGAAGCACUCAACGAUUUUCUUCAUGGAUUAGACACCCAUGUAAGUGGCUGCUAUUUCACUGCAAGCAUGGUUAUGAUGCCUCUAUUGUACUUGCCAAGCUAAGGAGUUACCUGGAUUAUUUCAUAGCGGUUGACCUGACGUAGUGAGGAUGGACGACGUGGUUGACCUGACGUGGUCAGGGUGGACGACGUGGUUGACCUGACGUGGUCAGGGUGGACGACGUGGUUGACCUGACGUGGUCAGGGUGGACGACGUGGUUGACCUGACGUGGUCAGGGUGGACGACGUGGUUGACCUGACGUGGUCAGGGUGGACGACGUGGUUGACCUGACGUGGUCAGGGUGGACGACGUGGUUGACCUGACGUGGUCAGGGUGGACGACGUGGUUGACCUGACGUGGUCAGGGUGGACGACGUGGUUGACCUGACGUGGUCAGGGUGGACGACGUGGUUGACCUGACGUGGUCAGGGUGGACGACGUGGUUGACCUGACGUGGUCAGGGUGGACGGCGUGGUUGACCUGACGUGGUCAGGGUGGACGGCGUGGUUGACCUGACGUGGUCAGGGUGGACGGCGUGGUUGACCUGACGUGGUCAGGGUGGACGGCGUGGUUGACCUGACGUGGUCAGGGUGGACGGCGUGGUUGACUUACUGGCACCAGAUAGAAUUAGAGGUUAUUGAGCAUGGAGACAAAGUGACCAGUUAGUUCAACAAGAUCACUGGCUACUGCACACACAUCUUGUGCAUUAAAGGGAUGUGUGUGUUUCUGUUUCAAUGGGCUUUGCUGCUGCUUGUGGUUUCUUGCUUUAUGAGAGAUCUAUAUGUGAGGGAUCUUUAGGAUUUCAGCUGUGCCUUUUCACUUUAUUAAUCCACAAUGACCAGUACUAAUCUAACACUAGCCCUCUUCUGAUUCUGUUUGUUCCUUCCUU
rnacentral:lncRNA from 1 species